rnacentral:misc_RNA from 1 species
GAUGAAGAACGUAGCGAAAUGCGAUAAGUAAUGUGAAUUGCAGAAUUCAGUGAAUCAUCGAAUCUUUGAACGCACAUUGCGCCCGCGAGUAUUCUCGCGGGCAUGCCUGUCCGAGCGUCAUUUCAACCCUCAGGGCCCGCCUGCUUCGGCAGGCGCGGCGCUGGUGUUGGGGAUCGGCCUAACCGCCGUCCCCCAAAUACAGUGGCGGUCUCGCUGCAGCCUCCCCUGCGUAGUAGCAACACUCGCAUGCGGAGCGCGGCGCGGCCACGCCGUAAAACCCCCGACUUUCUGAACGUUGACCUCGGAUCAGGUAGGAAUACCCACUGAACUUAAGCAUAUCAAUAAGCGGAGGA